rnacentral:pre_miRNA from 13 species
CACUGGAGGCAGCGGUUCAUCGAUCUUUUCCUGAAGAUUUUUUUGUUUUACACGAACAACACGAACCGAUCGAUAAACCUCUGCAUCCAGU